GCGGUCAAGGAUGGGCUCGCGGCCUAUCAGCUUGUUGGUGAGGUAACGGCUCACCAAGGCUUCGACGGGUAGCCGGCCUGAGAGGGCGACCGGCCACACUGGGACUGAGAUACGGCCCAG
rnacentral:rRNA from 1 species